CCUACGGGAGGCAGCAGUGGGGAAUUUUGGACAAUGGGCGCAAGCCUGAUCCAGCAAUGCCGCGUGAGUGAAGAAGGCCUUCGGGUUGUAAAGCUCUUUUGUCAGGGAAGAAACGGUGGAGGUUAAUACCUUCUGCUAAUGACGGUACCUGAAGAAUAAGCACCGGCUAACUACGUGCCAGCAGCCGCGGUAAUACGUAGGGUGCAAGCGUUAAUCGGAAUUACUGGGCGUAAAGCGUGCGCAGGCGGUUGUGCAAGACAGAUGUGAAAUCCCCGGGCUCAACCUGGGAAUUGCAUUUGUGACUGUACGGCUAGAGUGUGUCAGAGGGGGGUAGAAUUCCACGUGUAGCAGUGAAAUGCGUAGAGAUGUGGAGGAAUACCGAUGGCGAAGGCAGCCCCCUGGGAUAACACUGACGCUCAUGCACGAAAGCGUGGGGAGCAAACAGGAUUAGAUACCCUGGUAGUCCACGCCCUAAACGAUGUCUACUAGUUGUCGGGUCUUAAUUGACUUGGUAACGCAGCUAACGUGUGAAGUAGACCGCCUGGGGAGUCGGUCGCAAGNUUAAAACUUAAGGAAUUGACGGNUGAGAGNGCGAGACGACGACGAGGGAGGAGG
rnacentral:rRNA from 1 species